GACGAACGCUGGCGGCGUGCUUAACACAUGCAAGUCGAACGGAAAGGCCCUGCUUUUGUGGGGUGCUCGAGUGGCGCACGGGUGAGUAACACGUGAGUAACCUGCCCUUGACUUUGGGAUAACUUCAGGAAACUGGGGCUCAUACCGGAUAGGAGCUCCUGCUGCAUGGUGGGGGUUGGAAAGUUUCGGCGGUUGGGGAUGGACUCGCGGCUUAUCAGCUUGUUGGUGGGGUAGUGGCUUACCAAGGCUUUGACGGGUAGCCGGCCUGAGAGGGUGACCGGCCACAUUGGGACUGAGAUACGGCCCAGACUCCUACGGGAGGCAGCAGUGGGGAAUAUUGCACAAUGGGCGGAAGCCUGAUGCAGCAACGCCGCGUGCGGGAUGACGGCCUUCGGGUUGUAAACCGCUUUCGCCUGUGACGAAGCGUGAUUGACGGUAAUGGGUAAAGAAGCACCGGCUAACUACGUG
rnacentral:rRNA from 1 species